rnacentral:rRNA from 1 species
UACGUAGGGUGCAAGCGUUAAUCGGAAUUACUGGGCGUAAAGCGUGCGCAGGCGGUUUUGUAAGUCUGACGUGAAAGCCCCGGGCUCAACCUGGGAAUUGCGUUGGAGACUGCAAGGCUUGAAUCUGGCAGAGGGGGGUAGAAUUCCACGUGUAGCAGUGAAAUGCGUAGAGAUGUGGAGGAACACCGAUGGCGAAGGCAGCCCCCUGGGUCAAGAUUGACGCUCAUGCACGAAAGCGUGGGGAGCAAGCAGG